rnacentral:lncRNA from 1 species
ACUAAUACAAAAUAUCUGAAGCUUCUCUCUCUUUCUCGAACCUUCUCUCAAGUCCAAUGGUUAUUGCUCUGCUUCAAUUUCUUCCAGAUUUGUACUAUGUAACAUGGUAUCAGAGCGUAGAUCCUGAUGUUUCAUCUCAUCCGCUUCCGAUUGAUGUUGGUUACACUAUCCUUCGUCGAGUUAUUGGUUUUUUUUGUUACUUUCAUUCUGAAAAAGGUUUUUCUCCGAAUUUGCUGGAGAUUUUCGAAAUAGCUUGCUUAUCUCCACUGGAUUUUUGGUUUCAAUGGAGAUAUUGGGUGUUUCUCUAAUUAUUUCGAGAUAGGGUUCAGAUUGCUUCGAAUUAGGGUUUCUUCAUCACUUUCGUUGAGCUGCCUGAAGGUUUUUCUUCAAAAUUGACAAGAUUAUUCUCUUUUCGGUUUCAAAAGAGGGGGGGGGGGGG